GCCCGCUCAGAAACUUAAAGGAAUUGGACGGGGCCCGCACAAGCGGUGGAGUAUGUGGUUUAAUUCGAUGCAACGCGAAGAACCUUACCUGGUCUUGACAUCCCGGAGACCCUUAGGAAACUAGGGGGUGCUUCCAUCUGGAAGAAUCUGGAGACAGGUGCUGCAUGGCUGUCGUCAGCUCGUGUCGUGAGAUGUUGGGUUAAGUCCCGCAACGAGCGCAACCCUUGCCUUUAGUUGCCAGCAGUUCGGCUGGGCACUCUAAAGGGACUGCCGGUGUUAAACCGGAGGAAGGUGGGGAUGACGUCAAGUCCUCAUGGCCUUUAUGACCAGGGCUACACACGUACUACAAUGGCCGAUACAAAGGGCAGCGACACUGCGAGGUGAAGCCAAUCCCGUAAAAUCGGUCUCAGUCCGGAUUGGAGUCUGCAACUCGACUCCAUGAAGUUGGAAUCGCUAGUAAUCGUGGAUCAGCAUGCCACGGUGAAUACGUUCCCGGGCCUU
rnacentral:rRNA from 1 species